rnacentral:rRNA from 1 species
UCCGGGGGGGGCAAGCGUUGUUCGGAAUUACUGGGCGUAAAGGGCUCGUAGGCGGCCAACUAAGUCAGACGUGAAAUCCCUCGGCUUAACUGGGGAACUGCGUCUGAUACUGGCGAGCUUGAGUGCAGGAGAGGAACGCGGAAUUCCAGGUGUAGCGGUGAAAUGCGUAGAUAUCUGGAGGAACACCGGUGGCGAAGGCGGCGUUCUGGACUGCAACUGACACUGAGAAACGAAAGCCAGGGUAGCAAACGGG